GAUGAUGAUGGUAUUUAUGUUAGGGUUCGGUAGAUCGAUGAUGCUAUUUCUGUUAGUUUUUUAUUUUUUUUAAAUUGAUUCAUGAUUUAUGUUAUUUUUGUUAUUUCUUUGUUUAAAUUGAUUAAUGAUGUUUGUUAUUUCUGUCAGGGUUUGGUUGAUAGUUAGGAUUUGAAAGUUUGGGUUUUGUGUUUGUUUUUUUGUGUGUGUAAAUCGAUUAAUGAUGUACUUUUUUGUGGAUUUUGGUGGAUUGAUACUUAGUGUUUCAUGUAUUUUGUAGAUUUUGGUAGAUUGUUUUUCUUUCGUUCCUUAAACUCCGUCUGCUGUUUUUUUGUUAGGGGACUGAACUCAGCUAGGGCUUAGAAGUAGGUAUGUGUGGUCUUAAGUCACCUCAUAUGUGUUGAAUUUUAUAAGAAAAUCUUUUGAAUUGAGGCAAACCACUUCAUCACAGAAAUUUCAUAUGUUGUCCUGCGACUUUCGGAUCGAUUUUAGGGCACUUUGGAUAGUGAACUGAUAUAAGGCUUCUUUUCAUGAAAAUUGGUUCUCUGAAAGGCAUAUCUUUUGUGAAUUUAACUCAGUAACUGCUGUUCAACGCUCCCGCCACUUCUGUUUCCAGUAAGUUUGAUUCAUAUACAACUUGACCUGGCCUAGAACAUCUACUGAUAAGUUAUAGAUGCUUUUGAACAACAGUUCAUCAUAGUAUGCUUUGUUCCUGAUACAGAUAUAUGUUUUGGUUAUGCCAGCUUGAGUGGCAUACUUUCCGCAAUCCUGGCAGUUUUACUUUUGAGAAGAUUUGACACUUACAACUUUUAUUAGCCUUAGUUUUUAUGUAGGGAUUAAGGUACAUUGAACAACCAAACUUUAGAGACUUUUGUUGCGUGAUUUAGAGUUGAAUUGAUUAAGGUUUGAUAAUUUUAGAGUCUAUUAUGAAAUGUGGAAUUCGCUUGUAACUGCGGUGAGUAUGCGUCUUUAUGGACUUUUAUAGGUAUGCUAGAGAAAGAUUUUGUUCAUGAUGUCUUAAUGAAAAUUGUAGAGGAGAUUGUUAUCUUUCUAUAGAGAUAUUGGUUGUUUAAUUUGAAUCAAAGAUGAAUGUUUUAUGCACCCCGAAACUUUGACCCUCGUGUUGUUUACAAGGAUGUUAGAAGUUGAAGAUAAAAUGGCGUUGACUCGGCCGAAGGAGAGAUUAGUGUUUGGGUUGAGCAAGGUGUUUGGAUUGUGUAUAGGGAAGUAGCUGCCGGUAUCUUUUUGUAGGCAGUCCUUUGUUUGUAGUUCUUUAAGGUGGAAGAUUCGAUCUGAGAUUUCGCAAGGAGUUAUGAAGCUUCUAUUGCUAAUCAAGUUAUCAUAGCAACAGUAGAGGUAGAUGAAAAUGGACUUCCGAUGUCGAGGAAUUCAACAAAACUUGGAAGCCUGAAGGGCUCGUUGGUUCGUACUCAUAUUCCUAUAUCCUACAAAAACUGGAAGAUGGUGCCUGAAAAUUACAAAGACGAUAUCUGGAAUGAACUACAAAUAUCGUAUCUAUUGCCUGAUGCUUGUAAAGCAACUGUGGUAAAGGGGAUGUCUGAUCCAUGGAGGUGACUUAAGUGGGAGUUACGAAUAACAUAUUAUGAUCCAUAUCCCACUUAUGAAGAAAGGACUGCACGUACUCCUCCAAAUGUAACUGAUGAAGACUGUAAAGCAUUAUGUCGCAACGAGGAGGAUGAAAAGGUUCAGAAAAUAGAUUGGAUAAUAAGAUGAAAAGGGAGAAGUAUGAUUACAGUCAUAAUUCCGGUCGCAAACCUCAUAGUUUGGUAAGAGCUGAAUUGGAGCUGGAGAAUCCUGGAGUAGAAAUCACUACCUAUGAUGUGUGGAUUAAAGCCCAUACAAAAGAGGGUGGGAAAAUACUACCCAGUGCGCAGAAAUACUAUGAUGAUCUGAAGAAGGCGCAACUAGAUAUUAAGGAAAAAUAAGAUUCGGGUUCUUCUGUAGAUGAAGCUGAUCAAUUGACCGUAGCUUUUGGGAAGGAUACAAGGGAACGGGUUCGCGCUGUUGGUGCAGUUUCUCGUACACAAUAUGACUAUUCAGCUCCUGCACGUGCGAAAGUUGCUGAAAUGAAAUCUAAGGAUGGAGAGCUCAAGCAUCAGGUGAAAGAUUUGGGUACCAAGAUAGGGUAUCUACUCGAAGGCUUUGGAACCUUAUGUAAUGCUGUCCAGGAUAUCCAAUCUGUACAAUCCUCAUUUAUUGCCUCGAACCACAUGGAUAGUUCACAAGUUCAUACAAGUUAACCUGAUCAUACUCCUGCAGCAAGUGAUGUUUUUUUAAAUGAUGUUGUAGUAA